AGCGAACGCUGGCGGCAGGCCUAACACAUGCAAGUCGAACGAAGUCUUCGGACUUAGUGGCGGACGGGUGAGUAACACGUGGGAACGUGCCUUUAGGUUCGGAAUAACUCAGGGAAACUUGUGCUAAUACCGAAUGUGCCCUUCGGGGGAAAGAUUUAUCGCCUUUAGAGCGGCCCGCUUCUGAUUAGCUAGUUGGUGAGUGAAAGGCUCACCAAGGCGACGAUCAGUAGCUGGUCUGAGAGGAUGAUCAGCCACAUUGGGACUGAGACACGGCCCAAACUCCUACGGGAGGCAGCAGUGGGGAAUCUUGCGCAAUGGGCGAAAGCCUGACGCAGCCAUGCCGCGUGAAUGAUGAAGGUCUUAGGAUUGUAAAAUUCUUUCACCGGGGACGAUAAUGACGGUACCCGGAGAAGAAGCCCCGGCUAACUUCGUGCCAGCCGCCGCCGUAA
rnacentral:rRNA from 1 species